rnacentral:misc_RNA from 1 species
AUCCGAUGGCUAUGUCUUGUUUAUAAUUUCCCGUUCACUUCUUGUCGUUGUGUCGAUUCUACCAUAUCAUAUGAUUCUACGAUACAUAUUUACUCAUCUUAUUUGUCAUAAUAACAGCACGCGCUCUUUCGCGUCAUACAAUGUCUGUGAAUUAUGCCGAAGGUUUAUCAUCAUACGAAAAUAAAGGAGUUUGUGGAUUACCCGAGAACUUUGACAAACCAGACGAGAUUUCUGCAAAGGUCGAGGAACUUGCAGAGCUCAUUCGCGCCGCUAAGCAUGUGGUUGUACACACUGGAGCUGGGAUCAGCACAGCUGCAGGAAUACCAGACUUUCGAGGACCGAAUGGUGUGUGGACGUUGGAGCAGAGAGGAGAGAAGCCAGACGUGAAUAUCACGUUUGACAGUGCGCGGCCAACGCUCACGCACAUGGCGUUGGUAGCAUUGGAGGAGGCUGGAUUCGUGCAUUAUGUCGUUAGUCAGAACGUCGACGGCUUACACGUGCGCUCCGGCUUCCCCCGCGAUCGCUUGUCUGAACUACAUGGCAAUAUGUACAAGGAACAGUGCAAGCAGUGCGGAAAUGAGUACGUUCGAGAUACCGCCGUUCCUACGCUAGGGUUAAAGCUUACGGGGAACAACUGUGUCACUAAGAAAAAGAAUGGUCGGAACUGCAGGGGGAAACUAACAGACACAAUACUUGACUGGGAAGAUUCUCUACCGGAGAAAGACCUAGAACUAGCAGAGUUGAAUUCAAAGCAUGCAGACCUUAGUAUUUGCUUAGGAACAACGCUGCAAAUAGUACCGAGUGGAAAUCUACCGUUGGCUACAAAGCGAAAUGGUGGAAAGAUUGUCAUUGUAAACCUUCAGCCCACAAAACACGACAAGCAGGCGCACAUGCGCAUACACGCCUACGUUGACGACGUCAUGAGGCAACUCAUGCUCCAACUACAGGUGUCCGUAGCCGAAUAUGCUGAACCAAGGCUCGUGCUGUCCUCCUCACGCCCCACCGUCAACUUCCCCCCAAACAACACUGCUGCUGCACAGAAGAAGCAGCGUAAGAGGAAGGCGCCCGCCGCAGGGGAGGAGGCCGUCUCGAGAAAGGCGGGCAGGAACGAGGAAGCGGCGGUCGGCAACGCGCCCGCGGGAGCGACGAAGGAGGAACGAGGCGGCGCGGCGAGUCCGAAACGCGAGCGAUCGUGCACGCCCCCCGACGUCGCGAGACUCGCCCUCAAAGAGCCACCAGGUGGCGCCUGCGGCUUCACGAAGGUCGAGGGAGGCGAUGGAUCGGAAGCAUCACGGCGCUGUAACGACGAGACGUCGCCCUCUGCAGGCCAGUUGCCCACCUCCGGCCGGGGAUCAGACGUCGAGGACUCUAAGGUCGUGAAACGCGAACUAACGGACAACGGCGAGGGAACGGCGUCUUCUGUUCGGCCGAGGGAGAACCCCGACGGAGACGUCGGCUGCGCGACGCUCGCGCCUCUCUCGUCCUCGGUCGCCCUCGCGCGCGACAUCUUCAGCGAGAACAAUUUCGCGAGCGGCGGCGGCGGUGGGCACGACCUCAGGUCGUCCACCCCCGACACUUCUCCCCCCAGCGCCUCUCCCGUGUCAUUGGACUGCAGCGGCGAAGCCACGCUCGCCGCCGCGCCGCACAACGAUCCUGCGGAGGUGGACGGCGGACGUGUCUCCGACGACGACGAGGAGGAGGGCUCGGCGACACCCCAGCAAAAUCUGUCGGGUGUGAAUGGCGGCGGCGGGUCAUGCAGCGGCGGCAGCAGCAGCGGUAGCAGUGGCGGCAGCAGCAGCAGCGGCAGCAGCAGUAGCGGCGGCAGCAGCAGCAGCGGCAGCAGCGUCGUGUCGGACCUGUCUGCGACGGUGAGCGAGACCUUCAGUGUGUCGAGCGUGAGCUCUGCGGCGGGCGAGCCGUCGCGCGGCGACCACGACACGGCCAGCGACGCUUCACGCUGACGGCAGCGUCACGUAGAGGUGACCCGUGUCGUGUAGGUACAGGUCUACCUAACUCCUGUCACAUAGCGGUGACCGCGACACGGCCAGCGACGCUUCACGCUGACGGCAGCGUCACGUAGAGGUGACCCGUGUCGUGUAGGUCCAGGUCUACCUAACUCCUGUCACAUAGAGGUGACCCGUGUCGUGUAGGUACAGGUCUACAUGAAGCCUGUCACAUAGAGGUGACACAUGUCAUGUAGCUAUACCUCUACUUAAAUCCUGUCACAUAGAUACACCUGUAACUGCAUUGUCAUGCAUUACACAGGUACAUCUUCACAUAUUCCCGUCACAUACAGGUGACCGGUGGUAUGUAGGUACAUCGCUGUAUGUAGCCUGUCACAUAGAGGUGACCCGUGUCACGCAGGUAUAUCUCUGCAUGAAUCCUGUCACAUACAGAUGACCCGUGUCACGCAGGUACAUCUCUGCAUGCAGUCUGUCACAUAUAGAUGACCUGUCACGUGUCGUCUAGGUACAGUUCUACGUGAAUCCCUGUACUCUAGAGGUAAGACGUCAUGUAGCUGGUACGUUGUCUUUGUCACAUUACGGUGGUGACAUUACAUCACAUAGCUACAGCUCUACUUGAAUCAUGUCACGUAGAGGUGGCACUUGUCAGGUAAGCUAUACAUCUACAUAAACCCUGUCACAUAGAUGCACCUGUAAUUGAAUUGUCACAUAGUAGCAUAAACUGAAUCCAGCAGUAUCAUUCGCGUUUGAGUAUCGCAUUUAUUUUUAUAUUUAUUAAAGGGGCAUUUCAUGCCAAAUCAUCCAUGACCAACUUUUUAGCUCAGCUGACAAAGUCGGAUGCAGCUUGUAGAAUCGCAUGAUCCGUCCGUCAACAGUUGGACACAA